rnacentral:lncRNA from 1 species
UGUUUUGUCCCAUGGAACAUCAGUGGUUUGGGCUGCACUGGGAAUGUAUGGACAUCUCUGGAAGCCUAACAUAUACUUCACGGUCCUGUGAAAUGAAAGAUACAUGUCUCAGGGACAGUGUCUUCAGGUCUGGCUAGUCCACUCCUGAGCAGCAGCCUACAUUCUUCAUUUUAUGCAGAUAAUUAGGUGAAGAGUAAGUAGCACAGGGAGGACCAGGGGUUCCAUGCAGCUUGCCUGGAGGGACUCUCAAUUAGAUAGGAGGCCACACUGAUGGUUACAGUGGAAGAACUCCAGAGUAAGGAAAAGAGGGACUAUGGGCUGCAGGUUCAAAACAGAAGUGGCUACAAAGAAAGCAGAACACGGUGGUCAUGCUGUGGUUGUGGCUUCAAGUGGACAUUGGAGUUGUAGGCAGGAAAUAUCUCUGAUCAUGAAGACAGAAGACACUUGACCACAAGGGAUCUUACUCCAAGGCACAGAUCCUUGAGAAAUGGACUGAGGAGUAUACUACCACCACUACCUCCACCUCCACCAAGAAGAAAAAAGAAAUAAAGAGAACAAAUCUUUCCUGGCAAGAGACUUCUGUAAGGAAAAGAAGGCAGACUUCAAGAUGCUAGCAGAUUCUGUUAUGAGAAUAAGAAAUACAAUUUGAAACUCCUCAAAUAUACUCACACUUCAUCCACAUCAUCCCUUUAAUAUUGCCCCCUCCAGACCCCUAUCCAC